rnacentral:rRNA from 1 species
CGCGUAGGCGGAUUAAUAAGUCAGUGGUGAAAACCUGCAGCUUAACUGUAGACUUGCCAUCGAUACUGUUAGUCUUGAGUACGGUCAAGGUAGGCGGAAUGUGUAAUGUAGCGGUGAAAUGCUUAGAUAUUACACAGAACACCGAUUGCGAAGGCAGCUUACUGGGCCAUUACUGACGCUGAGGCACGAAAGCGUGGGGAGCGAACAGGAUUAGAUACCCUGGUAGUCC